rnacentral:misc_RNA from 1 species
GAUGAAGAACGCAGCGAAAUGCGAUAAGUAAUGUGAAUUGCAGAAUUCAGUGAAUCAUCGAAUCUUUGAACGCACAUUGCGCCCGCCAGUAUUCUGGCGGGCAUGCCUGUUCGAGCGUCAUUACAACCCUCAGGCCCCCGGGCCUGGCGUUGGGGAUCGGCGGAGCCCCCCGUGGGCACACGCCGUCCCCCAAAUACAGUGGCGGUCCCGCCGCAGCUUCCAUCGCGUAGUAGCUAACACCUCGCGACUGGAGAGCGGCGCGGCCACGCCGUAAAACACCCAACUCUUCUGAAGUUGACCUCGAAUCAGGUAGGAAUACCAGCUGAACUUAAGCAUAUCAAUAAGCGGAGGA